GUGGACCGAUCGGGCCGCUCGGGGCUCAAUGGGUUAACUGCCGAACCGAAAGAAAUACGUCGAAUCGCGCGUGGGGGAUAGGAAAAAGAUGGCGGGUAACGGAAAAAUGUCACGCGUAACGAAAAAAUGUUACACCAAAUUUAAUUUUUUUUUUAGUCGACAUAAUAAAUUCGAAGUUGUAGUUCAGGCGUUUAUUUUACCGUAUUAUAAGUGCGAAAAUGUGUUCAUUUGUAACUUAAAUAAAAUUAAAUACUUAAAAAUUAAAUGAACUCUUUAUAA